GGGGCGGUGGCGAAACGGCAGACGCAGCGGACUUAAAAUCCGCCGGGCUAACGCCCGUGUGGGUUCGACUCCCACCCGCCCUA
rnacentral:tRNA from 1 species